CGCGUAGGUGGUUCGUUAAGUUGGAUGUGAAAUCCCCGAGCUUAACUUGGGAAUUGCAUUCGAUACUGGUUGGCUAGAGUAUGGGAGAGGAUGGUAGAAUUCCAGGUGUAGCGGUGAAAUGCGUAGAGAUCUGGAGGAAUACCGAUGGCGAAGGCAGCCAUCUGGCCUAAUACUGACACUGAGGUGCGAAAGCAUGGGGAGCAAACAGGAUUAGAUACCCUGU
rnacentral:rRNA from 1 species